rnacentral:lncRNA from 1 species
UGUGUGCUCUAGCAUUCUUCGCAUUUUUGCGCGUGGGUGAGAUCACCGCAACAUCACAGCCGGGCAAUUGCCCUAUACAGUUAAACCAGCUCACCAAACUCUCAAGAGAUGGUGAAGUGAUUGGUUACAAAUUAAUAUUUGCUGAUUACAAGCAUAACUACAAUCAGCGACCAUUUACUAUGGUCAUCAACCGGCAAACAAGCACUUGCCCUGUACAAUUAUUAUCAACAUAUUUAAAUCAUCGUGGCUGUAGUCUGGGUCCAGUAUUUAUGACAGUGGAG